CGUAACCGAGAUACUGGAACAACCAAUCGGAAGCCAGCAUUCUGCGGUGUUUGUAAUUUCUUAAGCAUCAUUUACAUCCGUUUUGUAAGAAUUGUUGCUGGUUCGUUUCUGUCGCAAAGCGGAAAUGAAUAGAGUAUAUAAUUCCGUACAUGUACUGUGCUGUAAACGUAAACUUAGCAGUGUAAAAGUAUACCUGACUGCCGUAAAAUAAGUGAAUGUCUCGCUAUCUGACUUAUUACACCUGUUGCUGUGAAUUCGAUCGUUAUCACUAAUACAAUAAUACACAAUAAUUAUGAAGCCGGA